rnacentral:rRNA from 1 species
GACGGGGGAUGCGAGCGUUAUCCGGAAUGAUUGGGCGUAAAGGGUCCGCAGGUGGCCCGGUCAGUCCGCUGUCAAAGCCUGGGGCUCAACCCUGGAGAGGCGGCGGAGACCACCGGGCUUGAGUCCGGUAGGGGCAGAGGGAAUUCCCGGUGGAGCGGUGAAAUGCGUAGAGAUCGGGUGGAACACCAGGGGCGAAGGCGGCUGCCUGGCCCUGACCUGACGCUGAGGCGCGAGAGCGUGGGGAGCAAACCGG